AACUGUUUUAAAACCUUUUACUGAGUGGGCUGCAGAUGAAAAUAGAAAAGCUCAGUAUGAUGUUAAAGCUAGAAAAGCUCAGUAUGAUGUUAAAACUAUGAAUAUGGCUACCUUGUUUGGCAAGCUACGUGAACAUGAGUUGGAACUUGGUAGACUAAAGGAUGAAAAGGAGAUUGAAGAUUAAAAGUCCAUUGCUCUGAAGUACGCAAUAUGAGAAGGAAAAGCUUGCAAGAAUUCUGAAUCUGAAAGCUCAAGUGAUGAAGAUUUUGAUCAAAAGGAGGAAUCAAAUUUGUGCUAUAUGACAGGUGUAACAUGGGACGAUUAUGACAAUGAUGUAACAUAUCAAAUGAGCCCGUAGAAGUCAAAUAUGAUCUGCUUCAAGAUGCU
rnacentral:lncRNA from 1 species